rnacentral:rRNA from 1 species
GAUGAACGCUGGCGGCGUGCCUAAUACAUGCAAGUCGAGCGAACAGACGAGGAGCUUGCUCCUCUGACGUUAGCGGCGGACGGGUGAGUAACACGUGGAUAACCUACCUAUAAGACUGGGAUAACUUCGGGAAACCGGAGCUAAUACCGGAUAAUAUAUUGAACCGCAUGGUUCAAUAGUGAAAGACGGUUUUGCUGUCACUUAUAGAUGGAUCCGCGCCGCAUUAGCUAGUUGGUAAGGUAACGGCUUACCAAGGCAACGAUGCGUAGCCGACCUGAGAGGGUGAACGGCCACACUGGAACUGAGACACGGUCCAGACUCCUACGGGAGGCAGCAGUAGGGAAUCUUCCGAAAUGGGCGAAAGCCUGACGGAGCAACGCCGCGUGAGUGAUGAAGGUCUUCGGAUCGUAAAACUCUGUUAUUAGGGAAGAACAAAUGUGUAAGUAACUAUGCACGCCUUGACGGUACCUAAUCAGAAAGCCACGGCUAACUACGUG